GGCGCCGUGGCUUAGUUGGUUAAAGCGCCUGUCUAGUAAACAGGAGAUCGUGGGUUCGAAUCCCAUCGGUGCCU
rnacentral:tRNA from 1 species